CGAGUUGGUUCUCAAAAGUUUAUUUCUCACUGUUGGAGGUGACUGCAGGGUGGCUGCGGCUCUGCUCUGUGUGUCUUCUUCAUUCCAAGAUCCGAGCUGAAGGGACAUGCUGUUCUUACGGCAGAGGGGGAAAAAAGACAAUGCUGAAAUUUGCAAUGGCUCUUAACGUUUCUGCUUGAACUUGGUCUAAAUCACUCCCACUUAGGACCCGCUGGCCAGAGCAAGUCACAUGCCCAAGUCUGACGGUGCUAAUCUGGGGAAGUACACUUCUUCUCCAGGAAAACAAUGCAAGUCGUAGGGCAAAGGUUAGGAAUGUGGAAUUCUCUUACUAGGAGGAGGAAUGAAGAACUAUGUAUAUGUACAUACACAAUAAUGCAACUCAGGACACUGCUCGUGUAUGAGCCGGCUCCGCCUGCCGAAAGAGCACAGCUGGAGGAGUGUCCAGCUCUCCCCCAACCUGAGUCGCAGCAGGUGCUGGUCUCCUGAAGGGAAGCAGCUGAGGCUCUCUGGGGAAAAUGCUGGCCUCAUGGGAGAAGAAGAUCUGGAAGAGAACCCAGCAUGGAACAUGACAGGACACUCACUUCAUGUUCCGGGCCCCUCUAGAGUGUCUUCCACUUGCCCGUGACCUUCCUACAGGAAUCUGUGGGAGUUGGCACCCAGCUGCAAUGCUGUGCCCUGUGAGCCCACUCCUCGGCCAUGUUUGACUGGGCCAAGGGACGGCCCCUAACCCACGCUGGUCCAACCAGGUCCUACCUGUGCUAAUGUGCAAUCCAGAGAGAGGGAGGCAGAAGGGCAGUCUCUCCUAUGGUUGGCAUGAUAACAUGUGAACCUGGAAGCUGUGGGAGGCUGCCAUUCCUCCAACUGUUUGCACUGAGCAGCUGAGAAAGUCAGUCUUCAGAGAAAAAAGACAGAGGCAGCCCAGCAGCCAAGUCGAGACAAGGGGAGAGAAGGAGAAGCAACACUCCCCGAGCCCUGUGCUGCCUCCCUCUCCGGGCUCUUGUCAUUUCUGGGACCCUGCCCAGUGCUCACACGUGAGCUUGGGUUCCCCGAAUGACCCCUGCAUCUUACGACGACUUUCUCUCUUUAGGUGAAGUGAGAUUCAGUUCGUUUCUGUUGCUUGCAACCAAAGAACUUUGAGCAUUUCAGACUCGCCGUUCUGAGCCUUAGUUUGAUCAGCUGAAAAAUCAAGGUAGCGAUGCUGAGUCACAGGAUUGCUGAAAGAAUCAAAUGGACAUAAAAAUGCGAUAAAAUGGGAAAUAUUAUUACAGGAGAGAGACACCACGGAAGGAGCAAAAUGGCUUAGAAGUUUUGCUCUGAAUUUUUGAAAAAUUGGUUAACUAAUAAGAAAAUGGUAGAAGCCAACAAGAAAUAAUCAGAAUAUGUCAGACACUGUUCUAAGUAUUUUACACAUAUGAACUCCUUCAAUUUUCACAACAGCCUUAUUUUGUACAGGUUCCGCCAUUUUGCAGAUGAGGAAAGUAAGACAUAGGAGAAGUCUUAAAAACUAGCCAAGGUCACAUAUACUGGGCGACAAAGUAACGCUCUUGGCUUUCAUAUUUGUUUCCUCAUCCAUAAAACGGCACAAAUGUAGGUACCCCAGGGUGGUAUUUUUAAAAUUAAUUAAAAAGUCUUCACAAUGCAUAUGACACAGUAAAAACUAACUUUUAAAUUGCUUUCACCUCACACCUAUCAUGAAAAUGGCUAUUAUCAAAAGGACAAAAGAAAAUAAUAAAUGCUAGCAUGGAUGUGGAGCUGUGCACUGCUGGGGGAAUGUAAACUGGCGCGGCCAUUAUGGAAAGCAGUAUGGAGCUUCCUCAAAAACUGAAAAAAAGGAACUACUAUGUCAUCCAGCAAUUCUACUUCUGGGUAUUUAUCCAAAGAAAAUGAAAGCAUUAACUCAAAAAGAUACAUGCGCCCAUGUUCACUGCAGCAUUAUUUACAAUAGCUGAGAUAUGGAGAUGACCUAAGUGUCUACCAAUGGGCGAAUGGAUAAAGAACAUGUUUUGUAUAUAUAUAUUUUACAUAUAUAUACAUAUAUAUAUAAUUGUGUUACGUAUAUAUAUAGUGGAACAUCGUUCAGCCAUAAAAAAGAAUGAGGUCUUGCCAUUUGUGACAAUAUGGAUGGACCUUGUGGAUAUUAUGCUAAGUGAAAUAAGUCAGACAGAGAAAGACAAAUACCAUGUGAUCUCAGUUAGAUGUGGAAUCUAAAAACAAACAAACAAAAACCAAGCUCAUAGAUACAGAGAAGAGACUGGUGAUUACCAGAAGAUGGGGGUGGGUGAAAUGGGUGGAGGAAAUCAAAAGGUACAAAAUUCCAGUUACAAAAUACCCUCGUCAUGGGUAUGUAACGCACAGUUUGGCAACUAUGGCUAAUAAUGCUAUAUUGCAUAUUUGAAAGUUGCUAAGGGAGCGGAUUUUAAAAGUUCUCAUCACACAAAAAAAAUUCUGUAACUAUGUAUGGUGAUAUUAACUGGACUUAUUGGGGUGAUCAUUUUGCAAUAUAUAUAAAUAUCGAAUCAUGGUAUUGCACACUUGAAACUAAUAUAAUAUUGUUUGUCAAAUAUACCUUAAUAAAAAUAUCUCUUUCAUUAGAAUACUCAUCAUAAAUCUGUUUCCUAAUUGCACUGCAAGUGAAGAAAAUAAGACAUGGACCUAUGAAGAGGGAAAUUUCAAAUAAAUAAAUUCUGUUUACACAGCAAAAGAUGGGCUUAUCAAACUCAUGGGAAGUAAGCUUAAAAAUCUGUAGCACUUAUAAUGCCACUUGGCCUAAGGCAGCCUCAGACAAGCAGUUGUCAAGCCCUCGCUUAGUGGGAGGAUGGAGAUACCCAUACUCUUCAGUGCCUCUUGACAGCGUAAACUUUUUUAGCUUCUCCGCUCUGAGAACGGCAUGUCUCAAUUGGCUAUGAAGAGUGAGAAGGCAAGGAAACUGAGAAGGGUGGUGUGGUGCUGUAUCUUGGGGUUCUGCAGGCAUCAUCUCAUGUUACAGAUAGAAAAUGGGAGCUCCAGGAGGUAAAGAACAUGGCUUCAGCCCAACAAGCAGGAGUUGGAGGGUUGGAUUGCAACACGAGUCUCUCUGACCCCAAAGUCUCAGCUUUCUUCCCCGCACCUGGAGAUGCCUCAUCACGUCGGAUGCCCAUCGCUGCUUCACACGUUACCCAAAGCCAAUAAUGUGAAACAGCAAUAAGCCUUUAUUAUCACCCGGCUUCUGCAGCUCAGGAAUUCAAGAGUGGCUCAGCUGAGUGGUUCUGGCUUGGGGUUUCUCAUGAGGUUACGGUCAAGGUAUCAGCCGGGUCUCCAGUUAUCUACAGGUUUGACUUGGGAAGGAGGAUCCACUUCUAAUCGCCAUGGCUGGUAAUUUGGUUGUAGGAAGGAAGUCUCAGUUCCUCUCCAUGUAGGCCUCUCCAUAGGCUGGUUGAGUGUCCUCACAGCAUGGUGGCUGACUUCUCCCAGAGCAAGCAAUCCAAGAGAGAGGAGUGCCAAGGAAGCUAUCCUUUUUAUGACCUCCUCUCAGAAGUACAUAGAAGCACUUCACCAGGCUCAUUAAUUAGAAUAGGACUGACCUACAUUCGAGGGAGGGAAACGAGGCUUCGCCUUCUGAAGGGAGGAGGAUUAUGGAUGUAUUUCAAGACCACCGCACUUAGCAACAUGAGAAAGAAUUUACAGCUCUGGUGUGACUUGCCUACCUUCUGCUUAAAAUGAAUCAGAGGGCUUCCAGCACCUCUCAGGUUAAAGAUCACAGUCCUCACUGUGACCAGCAAGGCCAUGCACGCCCUACAGCUCUGCGUGUCCCCAGCCUCAAGCCAGGUCUUCCCCGUUUUAGCCACAUACCUGGACUGCUUCCAUUUCCUCACACUCCCUCUACCUGAAGGCCUCUGCAGAGAUGCUCUCUCGGCCCUCUGUGCCUUCCCAUAACCUCCUCUUGCCUUGCUAACGUUCGUUCCCUUAGCCUUCAGAUCCUGGUUCAAAGGUCGCCUCUUCACCAAACCAUCCCUGAUGUCCCAGACCAGAUCAGGUCCACUCAGAGGCUUUUAUGAACCUUUGAAUUCUUGAAUGAUACUUUUUCAUUUGCAAUUAUGUAUGGGUGUGAUCAGUGAGCUAUGUCUGUCUUCCCCACUAAUGUUCAGUCCAUAUUGAGAUGGCGCCUGUUUUUAUGUUCACCAUUGUAUCCCUAGUACGUUGCUCGGUGCCGAGCACACAGUGGGCACUCAGGGACAAAUGCAUUGAAUGAAGGAGCGCCCAGACAAUGCCCUUCUCGGAGCUGGAGGUGCAGGGCUGGGGGAGCACCUCUUUGUAAGUGUGCCUCAGUGCAGGUUCUGGCAUCAAGUCAGGGUUGACUUGGUGACUUUUAAGUUUCCUUUCCAUCAGGAGAGUCUGAGAUUCUGUGAGUCUGUGAUUCCAGGCAAGCAAACUGCCUCCUUAAGCAGCUUGCCGAUGGCCCAGGUCUUCUGGCUCCCAGGACACACCCUUUUAAGGGGCAGCCUGGUACAAACAUCAAGCACAAGGAAAGUCUAUGCUGGAAACUUCUGGGAGUUUCCAGCUGCCUGGGGCUUUAAGGGGCUCAAACGAUCGGGCCCUCCGUGGCUCCUUUAAGAAGUUUUACAAGGUUAAGUUUUGCUCUAAAAAUAAGCCCACAAGGCUUUUUGAAAAGUUUCAAAAACCAUAUGUCCAGCUGAGCCGUUUUUUGAAGGGCCAGUGAGCCUUUAAAAGCUUCAAAACCGCUCCUUGGCCUGCCCCCCACUGUGGAGAAAGCUCAACACGUGGAGCUUAGACCCGCUUCUAAGUCUUCUAGAAUCUACACUUGGAACAUUCUGCUUCCAUCAAAGGGGUUCAAGACGGAGAUGAGGGGCCGGCCAGGUGGCGCAGCGGUUAAGUCCGCACUUUCCACUUAGCCGCACGGGGUUCGCUGGUUCGGAUCCCGGGUGCGGACGUGGCACCGCUUGGCACGCCAUGCUGUGGCAGGCAUCCCACGUAUAAAGUAGAGGAAGAUGGGCACAAUGUUAGCUCAGGGCCAGGCUUCCUCAGCAAAAAAGAGGAGGACUGGCAGUAGUUAGCUGAGAGCUAAUCUUCCUCAAAAAAAAAAAAGACAGAGAUGAGUGCGUACGAACCCAAGGCCAGUUCUCUCCACAGCAAACAACCGCCCAAAUCACCAGGACACUGCAGCAAGUUGCCUACAGAGAGACCAGCUCAGCCUUCCCUGCUCCCCCUCCUCUCUCGUAGGUCUCUUCGCACUGCGCGCUGUGGGUUGUUCUUCCAGCGGGAAGGCCCGUGUGUAGCCCGGCCCCCGCAGGCCCAGGAGAUGCCCCAGAGACAGAGCCCCUCGGAUAUCUGGCAGCUAAUGAGGAAGUACAUUCAUUUACUAAAUUGUUCUCGCUCUCUCAUUUCUUUUCCUUUCGUCUUUUUGAAUAAAUAUUUAAGCCCUUAUUAUGUGCUGCAUAUCGAAUAUCCGUCUUUCAGGUGGGAAGGCAGGGGCAGAGGUUAGUGGAGAGCAGCAGAAAGGACAUCUUGACGAAUCAGAAAUGCAUUCUCCCCAAAGACGUUUUACAGUUUGUAGGGGAUUAAAGAGGAGUCCAGGCUACGAUACACCAGAUUUCAGGCUCCUUGAAUCCUUCAAGCUUCAGGAAGGAAUCCCUUAUUGACUCCUUUACAUAAAUGAGACUGAGACCAGAGAGGGUAGGAGAAUUGCUCACCAUCUGACAGGGCUUCAGCCACCCCACACGUGUCUUGCUGCUUCUCUAACAGAAUAAGCCAUAAACGGCUAUGAUGCCGGGGCACGGGGCUCCGGAGCAGUGUCAGUGUAACGUGAUACGAGAGUGCAGAAGAAAGAGAGGUCCCUUCCAGCUAAGAGGAUCAGAGAAGGUCCCGAUGUUGCUCCUUGCAGCCACAGUAAAGGGCAUUCUCUUUUCCCCAAACGAAGGAGCUCGACCUCAGUCUCUUUUCUGUGUAAGUGAAACACUUCCAGCUUCUGCACCAACGUCGAAGGCUAAACCCAAGAGAGGAGUGCCGCUGACUGCCGCUCGGAGCCACAGCAUCGCAGCGAGGGAAGGACCUACUCCUCCUCCUGUGACAUCCCGACAGGUGCUCACCCAGCUUGUGCUCACACAUCCUCAGUGGCAGGAAGCUCACUACCUCAUAAGGUGAGAAACUGAGGCUCCAGGAUGUGACAGAUCAGCAUUUCCCUGUUCAGGCAGAUAAGGAAUCAGUUUUCACAGGAAAAAAUUUGAAGACAUCACCAAAGCCUCAUGUGGUUAAAAACAGAAACGAGGGAGCUGAAGACACGAGCUACCUGGCUGAAGGUUGGCGAUGGGUGGAGGGCAGAGGAGAAGCAGGGCUUUCCACCUCCUGCCUGCUCGCAGCGGUCUGCAAAGCUCCUGAGUGAGGCUAGGUAGUUUCCAUUCGCCCCUGCAAAUCCACUUUCCACCUGGGUCUCUGUGGGCCCGGGAGCCUGGUCUUUGUGGACCCCAUCAACCCUGCGGCUUCUACUUGGGUUCGGCCAACGGGAAGCACCCUCCAGAGAUGCGAGGGCAAAAGAGCGGUCAGGGUCUUUGUUCCCUGCUCCCUCCUUCGAGGCCACAGGUUGGCAGUGGGUGUUCCUCCACCAAAGGUCUCAAUUCUCAUCAGACAGCUUUCUGCUUAAGCCACAGCACAGCUCUGGCUCUCUCUAAGGACACUGUUACCAGUCCCUACCAUCCCCUGUUUGUGUCCCUUAACUCCAUUUGCACCUUUGUUAAUAGUCCCUUCAUUAAACUCGUCUCAACACCCCACUGGAGCGAGCCAUUUGUUUCCUGUUUGGACCCAGAGUAAUUCAGUACUAGAACCGUAGGUCAGGAAGGCAUGGCAAAAGUCUUCUGCUCCUGCAGUUUUCAAAUUUUUACUUUUACCUGAAGAGAUCCAGUAAGAAUCAUGAUUGUAAAAGUAAUGAAGUUCGAGAAGCCCGUGGAACCCUGCCUGCUCAGCCUGCCACCCAAAGCACUCCUCCUCUCUGCCUCCCCCAGCUGCUCCAUGAAUCCCAGGGCUGUGGGGAGCGCCCUCCCAAGCCUGCUGACCUGGUGCAAACCCCUCGCUCCCGCGGGAGAGCGGCAGGGGGCCAGGUCUCUACAGCGGCCGUUGUGGCCUGAGCAGGUCUGAUUUAUGCGCUGGGCCUUCAUCAACAGUCUGCCUCAAUCUCUUCCCAAGUGCAAAGCCCCGUAAAUCUUCGCCAGCCCAUGUUAUACAAACACGCAAAAAUAUCAUUAGGGAAACAAACAGCCCCACUGGCCUUGGCAGAGGCCUUUUCUGCCAGGCUCAAGUUACCUAAAAUCAAUAUUUGAACAAGGACAAAACCACAUGUUUCCAAAACCAAAUUAGAGGGUCUAACGGGAGGCCUGGGACGUGGUUACAUCACGCGCGCUCCUGCUGCCCCCCGCGCUGUUGGCGGGCCCCCACCCCUUGCAGUCCCUGGCCUUGCUUGCCCUGAGUGUCUGAACCCAUGAGACAGGUGACACCGAGGGACAGAAUAAGUGAGAAGUAGGAUCUUCUGCAGAGCUGGGGCUGGGACCCAAGUUUACCAGACAGGGGGAGUGGCUGUGUCCCGUCCUGCAGCCCCUAAGCCCUGGCUCCACAUCCGUAGUGGGCUCUGGGCUAAGGUCUGAGGGUCCGAGAGUGAGCCAAAUCGCAAGUGUCUGCUCUCAGGGAGCCCACACUACAGUGUGGAAGGAAGAGGAGACAGGAGGUCACUUCAGCGCAGAAGGACAAGCACAAGCCAUGUGGGUGAGUUCCGGGAGCUUUGCAGGCACACAGCAGGGUCGGUAACCCAGGGGUGAGGGGGCCUUUGGGGGACAGCUUCCAGCAGCAGAUGUGUAAAAGGUGCUCUGUCUAACCAGCUACUCCGGCUUUGUGUGUGCCUGGCCCAGGAAGGGAAGGGGGCCGAUGGGAGAAGAGGACCCCCAUGCCUCCCAGAAGGGAGGGGUGAGCAAGGAAGAACUCCAUUCUCCCCCAACACGAGCCUGAGCUGGCGGAGAGCUGGGGAGCAGGCGCGGAGCCUCGGCCUUUCCGGGCCUCUCUUUUUGGAACCAGCCCAGCCCAUCUGCAGCCCCUCUGCCCUCCCCUAUUCUCUGCUUGAGCGCAGGGGAAAAAUGGGCAGCGCUUCUGAGCCAGCUGUGUGGGAAAGUCCUCCUCCGAGGGCAGCAGUAAGGCCUUUGGCCUGCACCUCUGAAGCCACGUUCUUUCAGCAAAAAAGCCAGCACUUUGCUCUCCAACCGCCCCUUGAGCCCUCUGUCUCUACCGAGACGGGAGUCCUAGUCGUUGACUCCUCCCAAACAAAUACCGUGUGAUCCGGCUCCUGGGUGCUGCGAGUUGAAACUGUAGGAUACAAGGUUGUAUUUUUUUUAUACUGUGUUUAGAAAAAUAAAUAAAAUAAAAUAUGCCACUGUAUAAACAAUGGUUGUAUUUAUGUGUGGUGGUGAUACAAUUUUCCUCUUUUUUUUAAAGAUAUUUUCCAAUUUAUAAAAAAUGAGUAUAUGUUAUUUUUAAUCUGGGGGGGAAAGCAGCAGGUAAAUGCAAUGAAAUGGCCUUUCAAAUGUGAUAAAAAUGUAAGAAAAAUGUAAGAGAAAGUCAUAAAUCCUGAGAAAGACCUUGGGCCAGCAGGAGGAAGCAGUUAGAGGCAGUCGCCUGGUCACGACUGCAGGCAGGGCACAGCCCCGUUCCCUCUUACCUUCUUAACAACUUUGUGUCCAGCUGAGGUGCUGGAGUCAUCAGCCGCCUUA
rnacentral:lncRNA from 1 species